AUUUAUGGCCCAGAAAGACAUUCUAGAGGCUACUUGAAUAUGUUGUGUUCGCUUGUUUGUUCAUAAACAUGUUCAUAAAUAUCUAUAUAAAGUAUUAAAACACGUAUUUUUUCAGGAUUGAAACACGUAUUUUGCUCAGUCCUUAAGCAUCAGAUGAGAUUUUAAAGGAACAUGCAUUAAAAACAUUGGUACAUUGUAAUGUUUAUUUUGGGGAAUAUGAAAAAAAAAUUCUACUGUCUGUUUAAUUGUAAAAACCUCUGUGCUGGAG